rnacentral:rRNA from 1 species
CCCAGACUCCUACGGGAGGCAGCAGUGGGGAAUAUUGCACAAUGGGGGGAACCCUGAUGCAGCGACGCCGCGUGGGUGAAGGAGUACUUCGGUACGUAAAGCCCUAUCAGCAGGAAAGAAAAUGACGGUACCUGACUAAGAAGCCCCGGCUAACUACGUGCCAACAGCCGCGGUAAUACGUAGGGGGCAAGCGUUAUCCGGAUUUACUGGGUGUAAAGGGAGCGUAGACGGCAGUGCAAGUCCGGAGUGAAAGCCCGGGGCUCAACCCUGGGACUGCUCUGGAAACUGUAAAGCUGGAGUGCGGGAGGGGCAGGCGGAAUUCCUGGUGUAGCGGUGAAAUGCGUAGAUAUCAGGAGGAACACCGGCGGCGAAGGCGGCCUGCUGGACCGUAACUGACGUUGAGGCUCGAAAGCGUGGGGAGCAAACAGGAUUAGAUACCCUAGUACCA